rnacentral:rRNA from 1 species
UGGGGAAUAUUGGGCAAUGGGCGAAAGCCUGACCCAGCAACGCCGCGUGAAGGAAGAAGGUCUUCAGAUUGUAAACUUCUUUUAUGAGGGACGAAGGACGUGACGGUACCUCAUGAAUAAGCCACGGCUAACUACGUGCCAGCAGCCGCGGUAAUACGUAGGUGGCAAGCGUUAUCCGGAUUUACUGGGUGUAAAGGGCGCGUAGGCGGGGAUGCAAGUCAGAUGUGAAAUCUAUGGGCUUAACUCAUAAACUGCAUUUGAAACUGUAUCUCUUGAGUGCUGGAGAGGUAGAUGGAAUUCCUUGUGUAGCGGUGAAAUGCGUAGAUAUAAGGAAGAACACCAGUGGCGAAGGCGAUCUACUGGACAGUAACUGACGCUGAGGCGCGAAAGCGU